GCUCAAAAAAAUCACCACGGGACACAGGAGAGCAAUGGGGAGGAGACGCAUCCCGGGAGGGCCGCCGCCGCCGACGAGCGCCUCGCGGGAGGCUCCGCCAGGACGCGUCCAAUGAGCACGAGGAGGCCCGUCGCAUCGCAGGGGCUUCUCUACGACGCCGUCGACGUGCGUGGAGGCCCAUCGCGGGAGGCUCCGCUAGGAGGCCUCCGACGAGUACGGGGAGACGCAUCGCAGGGAAGGCAGCGCCAGACCGCCGUCGAAUCUACCACCUCGCCGCCAACAAGCAUGAGCUGUGAGGAGGGGGCGCGUCGCGGGGAUGAAUCCGACAGGACACUGUCGACUCCACCACACCGCCGCCGAUGAGCUCGAGGAGGAGGCGUGACAGGCGGAGAGGGCUACACAAGGCCACAGAUGACUCCACCGUGAAAAGCAGCUCUGAUGGACCCCGACCGCCUCGGCGUGUGCCCCAUGUCGGGAUUUCUUUUCGUCUCCUCCCCGCCACGAUCUCUCCUGAUGCGGCGGUUGAAUGGAGGCGAGAAACAUCGGGAGCCCUCGCCGACGUCUUCAUUGCUGGCGCUGCGGUGGCCGGCGAUGUCUUGGGCCGGGGCGCGGAAGAGGUUGGACAAGCAGUCACCAACUCGCCAUGCCACAACGCGACGGAAAGCCCCCGUGCUAGCAACGCCUUGGCCCCGAGCGGCCACUGAAGCCAGUGGAGGACCCGACGGUGCCGGUUCUCCUAUUGACGGCAAGAUUGGAAACCUUCCUUCUCAAUCAGAUUGGGUCAUGCUUUGCAGCCGUGGCCGACGAGCUUAUGGAAAGCAACGACAACUGCGGAAUACGGUUUUUGUUUGCUUCCUUAAUUGCCAGGCCAUGACUGGAAUAGGUCGUGGUUUGUGGCAGGCAUCCUACAUCGAGUAUCGAGAACUUGGCAUUUGUUUGGUUUCUUAAUUCUCAGAUGAAGAUUUGCGCCCCUUCAUCAAGAUUCAGUUUAUUUUUGUUUGUUUCGUCCAUCAGUAGCAGGGUGAGGUCGAUGCCCAUCCUCUUAUGUUCAGACUUUGAGUUCAUAGUCUGUUGCAACUUACUUUGACUAGGAUAAUUAAUCCUAGCAGUGUUUGUAGUUGGUUGGCUUAGCUGCUUGACACUUACAGUUACAGAAAUUGCAGGACUGCUACUUGAGUUGCUGGUUUAGCAACUACAUAGUUAUAGGUGACAUGUCAUAUUGUUUGACCGGUGCUUACCUACAGAACCAAAAUAAGUAAACACUUGGUAUUCAGAUGAAGAAUUAACAAGUUUACUAAGCAGUUUCGUGUUUCCAGUUUCCCUAGCCAUAUUUCAUUAGCUUAGUACGAAACUAUAUUUUUUAUUUUCCUAGAAGUAUUUGCUCCUUAAUUGGGCCAUAUUAUGAUGAAUCUAUCCCAUUUUUCUCAUUCUCACUACCUUAUUUUCGCUGAACCAUCCUAGCAGGGCAAACAACUUUUUGGUUGGACAGAUACCUCCCUUUCUACUUCCCCGUCGAACCAUUGAUUGAUCAUAGUUGAUCCUUGCUUAGCUUCAUGCCGCUGUUGCUGAUCCAAUCGACGUCAGGGAGCCGGUUCCUCUUCGAGCAGUGGAGAGUUUUCAUGCUCAAUGAGAGUUGUGGCAAAUAGAAUCAAGCGCACUCUCUUCAAACUCAACGAGCUCACUGACAUCUUCACACUCGUGGACUCUGGUGCAUCCAGGAUAGAAGACCGAUAUGCUUCAGUACCGACAUUGAUCUACAAGUAAUUAGUUCUUUCAGCAACAAAUGCAAAUGCUUACAUGGUAAAACAUGGACAUGCAUUGGACCAUUCUAGAGAUGUCUCAUUGCUUCAGUUUUCUUUCUAGGUAUCCUUUAAUUGCUGGCCAUUCUCAAUUAGUUUAUUAACAAAUUAAUUAGUAUGUGAAGUAUUCCUAUUCCUUACAGAGUACCUUGGUUCUGCUCCUUUGUCCAAUUGUACUGUGCUUGCAUACAUAGCUGAAAACCCCCAAAAUUAUUCCAUGUAAUUUGCAAGCAGUUCAGAGACUCUUUGAGCACGUGCAUUGUUGAGAGCAUGUGUCCUUAGGUCUUCCAUACUUGAAUUGCAUGAUAUGCAUCUUGAUGCUAAAAAGAAGAUGAUGUACAUAUAUGUGUGGCUCUUCUGAGCAAGUUUAUUAAUGUCUGGGAGGCUACUGUUAGUUAUAUUUGCCUGGUAGGUGCCUACAUAUGAUUCUUUUCAACAUUAGUCUCACUUGAUUUUGUGCAGCGUAUCUACUGCUGUAAAACUAUUUUAUCGGUUUUCGCAUGAGGAUAUGCGUAAUGUUCAGUGAAUAGAUUUUAGAAGGCACUAUCUAUUGCCUAGCUCAUACUGAAAUUGCAUAAAUGAUCAGUGGGGAGAUUUUAGAAGGCACUAUCUAUCUAUUGCUAAUAGUAUGAUAAGACACUACAUGGUAAAUAUAUUAGCAUCCCGUUCAAAUGACUGGAGGUCUUCCUAAUUGAAGGGACUCUUUUCUAGCCAAAAAUUUAUCACACUAACAAUACAUCUAUACAAUGUGAUAUCCAGUCAGAAGCAUCACUACCCACACCCAGCUGUUGCUUUAAUAUCAAAUAGAACUGCAAUUGCUAAACUUCCACGUCUUUUUUUUGUCAAGAGCUACUAAACUUUCCUCUUAUUUUUUUGGAUGAGGUGUUCAGUUCUUUCUUGGUUGGGAUUGACACCGAGCACUACCCAGAAAGUUUCGGUGGGACAAUAUUCUCUACAAGGUCGGCUUCGGAUCAUCUGAACAUGAAACAACGACGACAGAAGACUUACAUUACCUUUCCGAUGUUGGCAUUAUAGCUUUUUUCAAUUUCUUUGGACAGAGCUUGCUCCAGUUCUAGCCCUCCCCGUGCGAAGCAAAGAAAUCAUCACCAUCAUUCAUCUGCCACUGAAUAUAACAGUGCCAACCACUGAUAGUUUGAUGACAGGGGAACAUGGAGACCACCCGCCUUAGCAUGCUAAAAAAUUAUAUUCAUGCUAAUUAGUUGAACUAUACAGUUCAGGCGCGGCGUGCCGCCGCGCCAGUUCAUGUGGGCGGAUGUGGGGCGUGAGCAUAGCAGGCAGUCCGAAGACCACCGGCGCGGGAACUCCGGCUUCCAGGUGAACCAUUCCACUCCGUUCUUUUUUACUUCCAUCAAUUAGAUAAUUUCUCAAAUAUUUUCUUCUCUUUUCUCAGUUCAGUCAGGUCAAGCCAUUACUGGUUCCCCACAUUGCACGGUGGGGGACUAGCCGUGUGGAAGCACUUGCCGGUUGCCGCCCAUCAUGGCUGCACUGCUCAAGGCCAAGGCAGCAUGCUUCUUGCUACGGGAGUACCUAGACUAGACUACAAUGCAGCUCAAGAUUUCCUCGCACUUCGACUUCAUUCAGGCUGUAGACAACCUUCUUUCUCACAACCGCAAGUAAUUUCUGGGGUAAAAAUUAUGCUUCGUGACUCAAAUAAAAAUAAUAUUUAUUCAUCGAUUCCUAAUAUUAUCGUACUAACUGGCCUUAUAAGUUGAGAACGUUAAGGUGUACUGUAUCUUGUGAAGAUGCAUCUCUUGCCAACGUUGUGCAUUUCUGGAACAAGGUUCACACCCAUGUCCAUAUUGUUUCACUUGCCUUUUUUUUUCUGUCCAAUCUUAUUGUUGUGUGAUGUGUCAUUUCUUCAUUUCUAAAGCUCCUCGGUGAUUUUCCUAAUUUCUAAGUUCUCACUACCUUUUUUCUGGUCAGUUCUUAGUCUACAAUCCUUGGACUUAUGAUCUCCAGCCAGUUAGUGUGGCAAACGGUUUAAGAAAUUCCAACCAGUUAGUGGCAACCAGAGAACAACAUAGAGUUAUCCCAACUUAUGAGGUCUUCUCAUAAUAGGCAACUUUCCCCCCACCAGUUCAGCAUGACGUUUUCUCCUCUGGUACGUAUAAUCUUAUGGCUGUUGGGAAUUCUGGACUUCACUGUGUCCUGCUCCUUUCUUUUUCUCAUUGUUCCUCGCAGCUCCGCUCACAGGCGUAAUAAUUCAAUAGUUUGGAGCUUGAGAGACCACCAAGAAUUUAGUGAAAAAAAAACACUGAACACGUCUAUUGUAUGCCAAUUGAGAGAUCCACCUGUCCUGUUCUAGACAACAGGUUUUCGUUGUUGUUCUUUUCAUAGGGGUUACCUUUUAUUCCACUUCGUGGGUUAAUUGUGCAGAAAUAUAAGUGCAACCUGUGACACUGCACAGUCCUGUUGCCACAGUUCAAUUUCAGGUGGACAUGAAUGAAGCUCUUGUAGAUAUCAUGCUGCCACUUCAUUUUCUCAUAUUUAAAGUCUUAGUCCUUCUAGAUGAAAUAGUAUAGUGCAGAAAUCCAACAAAAGCAUGUACUUUCUGUUAAAGUUACUAAGUUAUUACAGAAGGUAAGAAAUGUGUUCUUGGUUCCAAUCAAGCUAUCAAGCUAAGUAUAAAGGUGAAUUUUGCAAAUAGAUAAAUAAAUUAUACAUUUGCCAUUUGACUAGACCCAGUAGGUCCUCUUACCUUCAUACUAUUCUGAGUGGGAUGUUCAACAAUAAUAUGACAUCUCAAUAAAUUUUAGGUCUAAAGGCGCAACGUGAUAUGCAUUAUGAUACCAACAUAUUGCUAGGUACAAGUAAACAGUUGUUUCCAUUUUAAUUGUACGGCUGGUAUGUUUUCCCUGUAGAUUACAUGGGGCAAACGUGGUGCAAAUGUCUCUGGUUUUUCCUGGGUGGUUUUGUUCUAUUUUAAUAGAAUGCAUUCUGCAUUCUACUUCUUUUUCUGAAGAUUUAACCUACCUGUUUAUGUAUCCUUUUGUUCCGGAAAUGUGCUCUUCUUUAGAAAUUGAUUAGCUGCGACCGACUGCAUGAGAUUAUUAUAUAUUUAUAAAAUACCAUUCUUCUGCUAUA